UACGUAGGGUGCAAGCGUUGUCCGGAAUUAUUGGGCGUAAAGAGCUCGUAGGCGGUUCGUCACGUCGGCUGUGAAAACCUGAGGCUCAACCUCAGGCCUGCAGUCGAUACGGGCGGACUUGAGUACUGCAGGGGAGACUGGAAUUCCUGGUGUAGCGGUGAAAUGCACAGAUAUCAGGAGGAACACCGGUGGCGAAGGCGGGUCUCUGGGCAGUAACUGACGCUGAGGAGCGAAAGCGUGGGGAGCGAACAGG
rnacentral:rRNA from 1 species